UGCCCGCGCACGUCCCACACCCUCUACUCUCUCUCUCUAUGUGCUGUGGAGGAGGGGGCAGCGGAAGCCAGGCAGCCCCUCACUCCUCCAGCCCUGCCGAUUGCCGGACCCCACUUCUCGCUGUGGCAGGGCCGCGCGCAUGAGACUUGGGGAGGUCAGUGCGAUGCGUCGCUACUGAUGCCGGCGGGUGAGGUCGUGGGUGGUGCUGCCUCGGAGCGACCUGCGACCGUGCACACGCUUGUGCCACCCAUGUGGCUAGGCCGCGUGACUCGAACGCAUCCCACACCCGACCCUCACACGGCCCACUGGUGCUGCGGGGAGCCUGCGCCACUCGUGGGGACGCACCAGGUGGCGGCCGACAUGAUGCGGCUGGCUGCGAGGCGACGCGCGAAGCGCAGGGGUGAGUGGAGCUGGAGGCAGGGGCCUUGCGCAGGUCACCGAGUCGGUGCAUUGCCGUACCUCUUGUCAACGUCUGCCUCGCGCCGCGCGGAUGGGAGGGGGGCCUGUGACCGGCCCGCGGGCGAUCGAGUGUGGCGUUCAGCUCAUGUUCCGUGGCAUCGAAUGAACACGUUGAUGCGAAAACGAUUUCUCCUUUAUUCUGUGCGUGUGGGGGCAUGCUGUUGUUUGAUGUGUUCUUGAGGAAUUUCCUUUACUUCUGCGUUUCUGUUUUGCUUUUUUCGGUCGCGAUUUUCGACUUCAGCGCGCGUGCCUGUGCAUGAGCUUGUGCUGUGCCUGUGCUUUCCCCAUUCCCCUCUCUUAAGAGGUGCUCCUUGUGCAGCACUCAACGCACACCCGCUCUCUUUUUCUCUGUAUUUUUCUCGCGCGACCUCGCCGUGUGUAUGCGCUUGGGGCUUGUGCGGGUGUCUGUAAGGGCUCCUCUGGUGUAGUCGCGUGGGUUGGUGCCUUCUCCUCCCUCAUGAUCCAAAGACUCUGAAGGGGGAGGUGGAGAGGGAGGCUCGUUGCCCCUGAUGACAGACACGCAGGCCCGCGCCGGAGUGCUCAACCGCAAUUCUUCUUCUUGACCUUCUCCCUCUCCCUCCGCGAUGUUGUGCUUUCUCGUCUUUCUUGGACUUGUCUCCCCAUUCUUUUCGAUUGUGCGAGUCGACUUUGCCUUUGCUUUCAUUUUUCUCUUGGUCUGUCUUUUUUUGCUCGGCCAAUACGAUGCAAGCGGUGUGAAGGUGCACGCAUGCGCAUGUUUUGGUGCCUUUGGGGUGCCUCUGGCGUUUUCGGCUCGAUGCACGCGCGUACACACACACACACAUGUAUGUGUCGAGCAACUCAAGCCCUUGUAUGUGCUGCUGCUGCUGCUCUCUUUUUUUUUUUUCUCUGAUGGAUCCCCCCUUUCACAGCCCCCUUCCCUUCUCCCUUUUUUGCCCUCUUUGCGAAAUUUCUUCUUUUUUUUGUCUCUGUCUUGCACCGGCCACGUCCCGUGGCGCCGACUCACACACACACACACACACACACGCAUACAUACAUACAAAUCUCCCUGAGUGCGCCUGUGUGUGCGUGUGUGUGUGUGUUGCUGCUGUUGUAUGUCUGUGGUGGCGUAUGCGUGACAUGGCGAUC
rnacentral:misc_RNA from 1 species